AAGCUCGUAGUUGAAUUUCGAAUGUGGCUGGGCGGUCCGCCUCACGGUGUGUACUGUCUGGCUGUGUUCUCUUUCUUGGUGAGCCGGCAUGCCCUUUACUGGGUGUGUUGGGGAACCAGGACGUUUACCUUGAGAAAAUUAGAGUGUUCAAAGCAGGCCUACGCCCGAAUACAUUAGCAUGGCAUAAUGAAAUAGGACGUGCGGUUCUAUUUUGUUGGUUUCUAGAGCCGCAGUAAUGAUAAUAGGGAUAGUUGGG
rnacentral:rRNA from 1 species